CAAUGGAAGCCCAUCAAUUGAUGACAAUGCCAUAUCAAAAACUCUUCUUGCAUGGUCAAUAUUACCAGAAGCAGCUUCUCGUUGUGCAUAAACUCCACAUAGCAACAAAUCCUAUAAAAAGCACAAAUUAGAUCAACGUUAGAAGCUCCUUCUCUUUCUUGGUCCUUAUGAAAAUCCAAGAACAUCCAAUAGUUUCCUAACAUAGAACUCAGAAAUCACAUAUUCUUUUUAGAGAAAGUUAACAUUGAUCACAGCAUGUAUCCUUAACAGGCAUUCAGCUGCCUAAAAUCUGACUAAUGGACAAACAUAAGUCCAAAUGUUCCAUACUUUUUCCAUGAUAGUUGCUAAUAAUAUGAAGAAUGUUAUACUUGCAUUCAUUCUUCUCUAUUACUAGAAAAUCAAAACAACAAAAGCACUUCUAUUUUUUUAAUAAUGACCUAUUUGAAUAUUGGGCUUAACUGAUUAGAACAUUUUCAUAUGUCCAUUUAAGUCAUUAUUUGCAGCCCAUUCAAUAUGUUAGUUAAGUUUUUAAGAUAAAAUGUUUAGUUAUAUCUAUUUGCACUUUGGUUGGUAUAUUUUAUACAUAACACAUAUUAUAUGCAUCCUAAUAUUAAUAUUGCUUAGCAAAAAUGGACAUAAAAUUCACAUUUUGUAUGGCAGUAGUGAAGAGAACUCAUUUUUUGUGAAAAUGAUUGAAUAGUUCUUGUAAAUGGCCAUUAAUGAUGGUUUUGUUACAAUUAUGUGAAUAUAAUUGUUUUAAUUUUAUCAUGAAAGUGUUGAAAAAUUU
rnacentral:misc_RNA from 1 species